rnacentral:rRNA from 1 species
GAUGAACGCUGGCGGCGUGCCUAAUACAUGCAAGUCGAACGCAGUGGGGACGGGUGAGUAACACGUGGGUAACCUCCCAUCAGAGGGGAUAACACUUGGAAACAGGUGCUAAACCGAUCCUUUUGGAUGGACCCCCGGUGCAUUAGCUUGUUGGUGAGGUAACGGCUCACCAAGGCCACUAUGCAUAGCAGACCUGAAAGGGUGAUCGACCAAACUGAGACUGAGCCACGGGCCAGACGCCUACGGGAGGCAGCAGUAGGGAAUCUUCGGCUAUGGACGAAAGUCGGACCGAGCAACGCCGCGUGAGUGAUGAAGGUUUGCGGAACGUAAAACUCUGUUGUUGGGGAAGCGGUAAAUAAAGAGAAAGCCACGGCUAACUACGUGCCAGCAGCCGCGGUAAGUG